GAUGAACGCUGGCGGCAUGCCUAACACAUGCAAGUCGAACGAGACCUUCGGGUCUAGUGUCGCCCGGUUGCGUAACGCGUGGGAACCUGCCCUUAGGUUCGGAAUAACUCCCCGAAAGGGGUGCUAAUACCGGAUAAUGUCUUCUGACCAAAGAUUUAUCGCCUUUGGAUGGUCCCGCGUUGGAUUAGCUAGUUGGUAGGGUAAAAGCCUACCAAGGCGACGAUGCAUAGCUGGUCUGAGAGGAUGAGCAGCCACACUGGGACUGAGACACGGCCCAGACUCCUACGGGAGGCAGCAGUGGGGAAUAGUGGACAAUGGGCGAAAGCAUGAACCAGCAAGGACGCGUGAGUGAUGAAGGCAUUAGGGUUGAAAAGCGCAUGUAACCGGGAUGAUAAUGACAGUACCGGGAGAAUAAGCCACGGCUAACUACGUG
rnacentral:rRNA from 1 species